rnacentral:rRNA from 1 species
ACUCUAAGCGGUGGAUCACUCGGCUCAUGGGUCGAUGAAGAACGCAGCAAACUGUGCGUCAUCGUGUGAACUGCAGGACACAUGAACAUCGACAUUUUGAACGCAUAUCGCAGUCCAUGCUGUUAUGUACUUUAAUUAAUUUUAUAGUGCUGCUUGGACUACAUAUGGUUGAGGGUUGUAAGACUAUGCUAAUUAAGUUGCUUAUAAAUUUUUAUAAGCAUAUGGUAUAUUAUUGGAUAAAUAUAAUAAUUUUUAUUCAUAAUAUUAAAAAAUAAAUGAAAAACAUUAUCUCACAUUUGAAUGUGAAAAACGAAGAGAAAUAUUUUCUUUUUCAAUCAAAUAAUACUGAGAAAUGUCUAGCAUAAAAAAUUGAAAUAUUUUUCAUCUAGAAUUGUCUCUUAUUAAUGAUUCGGAAAUAGAAAAAUCUUGGUUAUGUUAUUAUUCUUCGUUGGUUCGUUAAAAAUGGAUAAAUAAAAACUUUGCAUACAAGAAUUAAUAAAAAUGUUAUAACGAAUUUAAUUAAAUGUUUUAUCAUUAUAUAUAAAGAAUUUAUGGCAAGAUAAAGUUAUAUACAACCUCAACUCAUAUGGGACUACCCCCUGAAUUUAAGCAUAUUAAUUAGGGGAGGAAAAGAAACUAACAAGGAUUUUCUUAGUAGCGGCGAGCGAAAAGAAAACAGUUCAGCACUAAGUCACUUUGUCUAUAUGGCAAAUGUGAGAUGCAGUGUAUGGAGCGUCAAUAUUCUAGUAUGAGAAAUUAACGAUUUAAGUCCUUCUUAAAUGAGGCCAUUUACCCAUAGAGGGUGCCAGGCCCGUAUAACGUUAAUGAUUACUAGAUGAUGUUUCCAAAGAGUCGUGUUGCUUGAUAGUGCAGCACUAAGUGGGUGGUAAACUCCAUCUAAAACUAAAUAUAACCAUGAGACCGAUAGUAAACAAGUACCGUGAGGGAAAGUUGAAAAGAACUCUGAAUAGAGAGUUAAACAGUACGUGAAACUGCUUAGAGGUUAAGCCCGAUGAACCUGAAUAUCCGUUAUGGAAAAUUCAUCAUUAAAAUUGUAAUAUUUAAAUAAUAUUAUGAGAAUAGUGUGCAUUUUUUCCAUAUAAGGACAUUGUAAUCUAUUAGCAUAUACCAAAUUUAUCAUAAAAUAUAACUUAUAGUUUAUUCCAAUUAAAUUGCUUGCAUUUUAACACAGAAUAAAUGUUAUUAAUUUGAUAAAGUGCUGAUAGAUUUAUAUGAUUACAGUGCGUUAAUUUUUCGGAAUUAUAUAAUGGCAUAAUUAUCAUUGAUUUUUGUGUUUAUUAUAUGCACUUGUAUGAUUAACAAUGCGAAAGAUUCAGGAUACCUUCGGGACCCGUCUUGAAACACGGACCAAGGAGUCUAACAUAUGUGCAAGUUAUUGGGAUAUAAACCUAAUAGCGUAAUUAACUUGACUAAUAAUGGGAUUAGUUUUUUAGCUAUUUAUAGCUAAUUAACACAAUCCCGGGGCGUUCUAUAUAGUUAUGUAUAAUGUAUAUUUAUAUUAUUUAUGCCUCUAACUGGAACGUACCUUGAGCAUAUAUGCUGUGACCCGAAAGAUGGUGAACUAUACUUGAUCAGGUUGAAGUCAGGGGAAACCCUGAUGGAAGACCGAAACAGUUCUGACGUGCAAAUCGAUUGUCAGAAUUGAGUAUAGGGGCGAAAGACCAAUCGAACCAUCUAGUAGCUGGUUCCUUCCGAAGUUUCCCUCAGGAUAGCUGGUGCAUUUUAAUAUUAUAUAAAAUAAUCUUAUCUGGUAAAGCGAAUGAUUAGAGGCCUUAGGGUCGAAACGAUCUUAACCUAUUCUCAAACUUUAAAUGGGUAAGAACCUUAACUUUCUUGAUAUGAAGUUCAAGGUUAUGAUAUAAUGUGCCCAGUGGGCCACUUUUGGUAAGCAGAACUGGCGCUGUGGGAUGAACCAAACGUAAUGUUACGGUGCCCAAAUUAACAACUCAUGCAGAUACCAUGAAAGGCGUUGGUUGCUUAAAACAGCAGGACGGUGAUCAUGGAAGUCGAAAUCCGCUAAGGAGUGUGUAACAACUCACCUGCCGAAGCAACUAGCCCUUAAAAUGGAUGGCGCUUAAGUUGUAUACCUAUACAUUACCGCUAAAGUAGAUGAUUUAUAUUACUUGUGAUAUAAAUUUUGAAACUUUAGUGAGUAGGAAGGUACAAUGGUAUGCGUAGAAGUGUUUGGCGUAAGCCUGCAUGGAGCUGCCAUUGGUACAGAUCUUGGUGGUAGUAGCAAAUAAUCGAAUGAGACCUUGGAGGACUGAAGUGGAGAAGGGUUUCGUGUGAACAGUGGUUGAUCACGAGUUAGUCGGUCCUAAGUUCAAGGCGAAAGCCGAAAAUUUUCAAGUAAAACAAAAAUGCCUAACUAUAUAAACAAAGCGAAUUAUAAUACACUUGAAUAAUUUUGAACGAAAGGGAAUACGGUUCCAAUUCCGUAACCUGUUGAGUAUCCGUUUGUUAUUAAAUAUGGGCCUCGUGCUCAUCCUGGCAACAGGAACGACCAUAAA